UGAAACUUCAGAAAUAAUGCCCUGAAGAGCUAACUACAAGAGGUCUAUGACUCUAUUUCAACUCUAAAAUCAGAAGGAAGUUCAUGUAUUUUCAUCGAAAUUUCCUCAGCUGAAUUCUCUCAAUCUUUACUUUCCUCUGUCUCCAAAUCCUACACAAAUAUUUUGGAAGUAUAAUUAUUGACUGUAUGAACAUAAAAUUUUCAUUCACUUUAUAGAUUUAGUUUAGAGUAAAAGUUAACAUUUCGAACACUUAUUUUUGUUAAUUGUAAAGGUAAUACAUAGUGUAGAAAGAAUGAACAAUUAAAAAAAUUUAAGGAAUGGAAGAAAGUAAAGGAAGGCAGGGCGGGAGAGAGACAGGGAAAAAAGGCAAGCAAAGAAGUUAUCUUCUAGCAACACACAAAGGUAAACAACAAACACAAAAUAUUAUAAUUGAAUAGCUUAGUAAUUACCACAGCUCAAAAAGAUCACCAAGGUCACAGAUCUCAUCAGAAAACAGAUAAGACAUGAACAGGGGUAAUCUCAUUAAAAAGAAGAGCUUGGAUGCUCUAAUAAGAUUUGGAUAGCAUUAGAGCAGAUUAUGCUAAGUGAAGUUAGCUAAUCCCCCCAAAACAAAUAGUCUUUGAAACCCUAGAACAAUUAGACAAAAGAAAUAAUUUAAAGUGAAUAGGAAAAGCUCAAACUAUCCCUAUUUGCCAAUGACAUGAUUCUAUAUUUAGAAGGCCCACAAAACUCUCCCAGAAAGCUUCUUUAACUCAGAAAUGAAUUCAACAAAGUGGCAGGAUAUAAAAUUAACACACCUAAAUCAAUUGCAUUCCUAUACUUUAGUGAUGGAUCAGCCAAAAGAGAAACUAGGAAAACUGUCCCAUUCACAAGAGCUAUCCCAUUCACACAUAACAAAAACAAAACAAAACAUUCCAAAACCAAAACAAGAAAACUUGGGAAUUAAUCUAACAAACAGGUGAAAGACCUCUACAAUGAAAACUGUAGAACACUAAAAAAGAAAUUGAAGAAGACCUUAGAAAAUGGAAAAAUCUCCCAUAUUCUGGGUUAGGCAGAAUUAACAUUGACAAAAUGGCCAAGGUACAAAAAGCACUAUACAGACUUAAUGUAAAUUGUAUUAAAAUUCUAAUGAUGUUCUUCAUACAAAUAGAAAAAGCAGUCAUGAUAUUCAUUUGGAAAAAUAAGUGACCCAGAAUAGCCAAAGCAAUUCUUAGUGAGAAAAGUGAUGCAGGAGGCAUCACAAUACCAGACCUUAAAUUAUACUACAGAGCUGUAGUAACAAAAAGCCAUGGUACUGGAAAAACAGACAUGAAGACCAAAGGAAUAGAAUAGAAGACACAGAGACAUACCCACAUAAAUUUAGUUAUCUCAUUCUAGACAAAGGCUCCAUAAACAUACACUGGAGAAAAGAUAGCCUCUUCAACAAAUGGUCCUGGAAAACUGGAAAUCCAUAGAUAGUAGAUUGACAUUGAACCCAUGUCUCUUACCUACAUAAAACUCAACUCAAAGUAGAUCAAGGACCUAGGCAUUAGAUCAGAGACCCUGUACCUACUAAAAGAAAAGUUGGCUCAACUUUCCAUUGUGUCAGCUUAGGAACCAAAUUCUUCAAUAAGACUCCUAAAAUGUAAGAAUCAAUAAAUGGGAUCACAUCAAACUUAAAAGCUUCUUCAUAGCAAAGGAAAAAAUCAAGAACAUUAACAGAAAGCCUACAGAAUGGGAGAAAAUCUUUGCCACCUGCACAUCAGAUAGAACAUUAAUCUCCAGGAUAUAUAAAGAACUCAAAAAACUUAACACCAAAAACAAACAAACAAACAACCCAAUCAAUAAAUGGGCAAAGGAACUGAACAAACACUUCACUGAAAAAGAGAGAUGAGUGGUCAAAAUAUAUGAAAAAAUGUUCAGCAUCUCUAGCAAUUAGAGAAAUGCAAAUUAAAACUACACUGAGGCUGUGGGGAGAAAGGUUCACUUAUACAUUGCUGUUAGGACUGCAAGUUGAAGUUGGUACAAUCACUAUGGAAAGCAGUCUAUAUAGAAGGUUCCUUAGAAAACUUGGAAUGGAAUGACCAUUUGAUCCAAUUAUCCCACUCCUCGAUUUGUAUCCAAAGGACUUAAAAUCAGCAUACAGUGACACAGCCACAUCAAUGUUUAUAGCAGCUCAGUUCACAAUAGCCAAGCCAUGGAACAAACCUAGGUGCACUUAAACAGAUGAAUGGGUAAAUAAAAUGUAGUAUAUAUACUCAGCCAUAAAGAAGAAUGAAAUUAUGGUAUUCACCAGUAAAUGGAUGGAACUGGAAAAUGUGCUAAGUGAAAUAAGCCAGUCCCCCAAAACCAAAGGCUGAAUGCUCACUUUGAUAUGUGGAUGAUAACCCACAACAAGGAAGGGUAGUGAGGGGAAGAAUAGAAGUUCAUUGGAUUAGACAAAGGAGAAUGAAGGGGAGGAAGUGGGGAUGGGAAUAGGAAAGGCAGUACAACGAAUUGAACAUAUGAAUGAAUCAAAAUGAAUGCUCAUAAGUGAAUAGACAACCAUAAAUGAAUAGACAAUUCCACAUCAUGCACACACACACAAGAAUGGGAUCUUAACUGGAAUGGGUCAUACUUUAUAUAUGUAUAAUAUGUCAAAAUACUCUCUACUGUUACUUAUAUCUAAAAACAACAAACAAAAAGAACUUUAAAAGUGAUUUUUAAGUCAAACUCUGUUAUUUAUAAGUAGUACUUGAAACAAAGAAAAAGUUUAAACUAAAAAGUUGUAGAGAGAUAAGCAGAAGGAAUCUAAAAGAAAGUUCUAGUUAACUUUAAAGUAUCAAAUAAGAUUAUAUGUUAAUCAGUGAUAACUGUCAUAAUUCAUAAAGAAGAUAUUUCAGUAAUAAAGCCAUAUACACAAAUCAACACAGAAGCUAAACUCAUUUAAAAAAAUGAUUCUAGAUUUACAAGAAGAAUUGAAUUACAAAUAUUUAUCCAGAAUUGAUUAAAUUAGGGUGGCAGGAAAUUAGAAUUAUUGAAAAGAUUGUGAUAAUACAAAAUAAACUUAUCAUAUGUAUACAUGUUGUGUGUAUGUAUGUAAAAUUAUAUGUUUCUGAAAGAGAAAUCACAUUUUUUGUUAGCAUUUACAAAAUAGCAUAAAAUGAGAGUUGCCUAUGUAUGUGUUCUUUUCUCGUGAUGAGACAUUUCUUUUCCAUUUUUUAACUUUUAAAACAUAUAUCAUGUAAUUGACUGUCAAAAAGUUCAUAAGUAGAGAAUUAUAAGUCCCAUUUUCUUGUAAUAAAAUGAAUUAUAGGUUCCCCAAAGAUCAUUUUGUGUAUUCUUUCAUGAGAUAAUUAGUAAGCUGCAGCUAUAGAGACACAGAAGACACUCAGGAAAAUAAAGUUUAUUGUACUUACAGGUCCUAGCGACCAAAGAAUGACACAUCAUGCAAGACACAUAAGGAAGACACAGGCAUGGUCAGGAGGCAGAAGAUAGGAGAAAAGGGAAGGUCGAUGUCACAGCCUUUAUUAAGAUUUCCAUAGAAAAGUC
rnacentral:lncRNA from 1 species